UUUAAGACCCAGUUGACUGCCUUAAUAGGUGAACACAGAGCAGAUGGAAAUCUCUUCAGCAUCAUGUUGACAUUUCAGUAAAUUGAAUGCACAAGUUUAAUGAACACCCAGUUAGUUACUAUGAUGUUACCAAAAACAGUUUUUUGCCCUCCCCACUAAUUUCAAUGUUUCCCAAGCAUUGAUUUAUUUGUGGCGGCCCACAACAAUAUAAACCUUGACUGACACAUAUAGAUUUUCUUUUUUACUAUUUAUAUUGGGUAAAUUCUUAUUUCUUUGUAGAGCAGCGCUCAGCCCCUCCUUGACCGGCCCUCAGGUGGACCUGUCUGAACAGCACUCCUGUCCUUGCACACUCAGAGCUGGGCUGUGGAGCUUAGCACGCAGUACAUAGCUGCUAGUCAAUAUUAACUGGAGUGGAUAACUUUAAUGUUAAUUCUUGAACUGAAUUAACACUGAAUGGUCAACAGGCAACAGCUCUCUCAGAAAAAGGGGCCUAAUUUCUGUUCUUCACUGGAUUUAUUUUGUUAGUUGUUAGAAUGGGAAGCUAUUCAGUUGUGGUCUGUACACUGUAUCGUUCAGUUAUUUAUUUGUCACAAAGUACUUGGCACUUAAAUUUGUGGAGCAACGAUAUUACUUAUUAAUUUAUUUUAAAGACAGCCACCCCCAUAAACUUUCCAACAACACUCUGACAUGAUGACACAUUUUCUACAGAAGCACUUAAAAUAAAGUACUGCCCAUAUCAACUUUCUGAUGAUGAUUAUUCACUACACACACAAAAGUAACAAUACCUUGUAGAUCCUCGACCAGCAUUUCCUCUCUUCCUUCAACGUAGAUUUUGGCCAGUGGGGUUUUUCCCUGAGCAAGCUUGAGCACCUUCAGCACAACACUUGUGAAGCCCUCUUUCCAUCACCGGCAUAAGUUGACAGAUGAUGGAUGGAUCCUGUCAACCUCAUCGUACAACUGAAAAGUUGAUAGAAAGGGGACUUGACACUUGCACCGCUGCCGCGACCACACAGCACCACCUCCUGUCACUCACAGCGCCGUCUACUAUUUUUAUCCCUGCCAGAGUUUCGAAAAGUCCUGCCCUACUGUGCUGUAAUGGGCUAGUACUCAUCACUUGUGAUUGGAUUCUGGCAAAGGAUACAAGCAAGCCCAUAUGAAAGUGACAUGAAACGUGCUAACAAAACCAAAUGAGCAAAGCACCUGCAGGACCGACACUCCGUCCUCUAUAAAGAACAUGGAGAGGUUGGAGAAGUCUCUCCCCCUUUCAACAUCACUAAAGUAAUAAACAAGAUGGCCCAGUAAACUGUUGUUAAGAUAGUUGUCCUGUUGUUUGCCCAACAGACAUUUGUAAUUCUCUAAUCUAAAUUAAUCCCCCUCAGAGCUAUCAGACCUGAGGAAUCUCAGACAGCAGAGAUUUAGUGUAUAAGAAAUACUUUGACCAAGGUAAAUUAACUGAUGCUGUUCUGCUUAACACACAGUAUUAUUAACUCUACUAACUAAGAUAAGUUGAUUAGAUAAUUUAGUAAUUUAAUUCAGAAAUGUAAUCAAUGUUGUGUCAAUUUUCCCCUGUGGUAUGGUAUUGAAUAUCAAUAUUUUUCAAAAUAUUGUACUGAAGUUAGAAAUGCCAGUAUUUUGACAACACUAAGUUCAAUAAAGUCCUUAUAUUGAUGUGUGCUUUGAAAAUUGACUAAAUGAUCUGUGAUUCAUAUUACUUACCCCUGAGGGUGUUCUUAAGAAAGGGUAUUUCUUGAGUAUAUCCUCCACAGUCAUUCCAUCUGCUAUCUCUCUUCGCCGCCACGCAAAUGUUCGCUGCAUGCAGUCUUUAACAAUAGAGGUGUCUGGUUGCAUUCUCUCAUACUGGACACGCAGGAUGUUCACAUGUCUCCCAAUAGAGGACGCAUCCUCACCAAUGAUAGCCGGCACCUGAUGGAAAUAAAAACAGGUUUACCUCACAAUGCAAAAACAUUUUUCCUCAUCUGAACCAGAAUGUUGCAACCACACAAAAAGAGCCUCAAUUACCAUACCUACAUAUGUCUUGUAAAAUAUUAUUGUACACUAACUUUUCUAAGAACUGUAAGCAGCUGCAUUAAUCCACUCACCCCUGGCACAGAUCUGCAAUAGGUUCUUGCAGCCUCCGUAGACUGUCUGGCUCUCUUGUGCCCAAACUUCUCCUUACUCCUUCUCACCUCGUCUUCAUGAACCAAAGGUGCACGCUCUGCUUUGAAUUUGCGUUUGAGGGACUGAUGCCAGGUAUGCUAACACAGACAAUACAACAAAGAUAACCCCCAUCAUUAAAUAUUAAUUUCAUGAACUUAUCCAAGGAAAAUAACAUAAUACACUUUAGGGCUGCAUGAUUAAUCUCAUCGAAUUGCAAUCGCAAGGUCGUCAUGUGCGAUUACAAAACCGCAAAAAGGGUGUGAUUUAAUUUAACAGAAAAAGUGUGCUCUGUGUGUGACACUGGUCUUUGUGUACACUGCAGUCUGCUCAUUAUCCACACCGGGCUCUCGCAUGUGCCCCUAAAAACAGAUAGACCUACAUGCAAUCAGAAAAAUGAUUUAUGAGCAGUAUGCGAGUAACGUUUAAAACAACAACCUACCGUAACCCCCAAUAUGUGCCAAUAUGUGCUGCUUCUAGCCACCUCCUCCUGAGAGAAACACUCUCCCCUUGUUCUUUUAUACAUCUGUUUUACUAAAGUUAUUGUUAUAAAUAUUGUUUAACUUUGUUCAAUUUGAGAAAUACACAGUUCAAAAUGUCAGUAUUUUGUGCAUUUUCCUUGAUAAUCAAGCAAGUAGACUCAUAGUACGAUUUGUUCCAUUAUAAUCGAAUUGCAAUAUUGUCCACAAUCGCAAUAUGACUCUCUCCAAAUCAUGCAGCCCUAAUACACUUGCAUGCAUUCUUUAUUUCAUUCAAUGUUCUCAAACUCAUUACAUCAGAAAAUAACAAGCUGCAUAAUAUCAAACGUAACUUACAUAGCCGUUUCCCUCCAGAUCCUUAAGGACAGGGUACUUGUGUUUUAACAACUUGCACAUAUUCUGCGUUGGUGGGAUACCUGUGAUCAAGAUUAAAUUAAAUGAAUAAAGCAAUUUAGUUUACCCAUAAACCGUUGUUUAAAAGCCA
ensembl:lncRNA